UGCAGGCUAUUGAGAGAUUUGCUGUGACGGUAAAGGAGAUAGCCCAGUUGCUGCAGUUGUUCGGCACGAAGCUCGCUGAGACCGAGCUACCAGAUGAGGUCGACGCCAUCGAGUUCCAACUCAGGUCCCAAGUUGACCAAUACAGGCAGCUGAAAGAUGACAUCCGGUCAGUGAUGAGGGAGGCCCGUUACCUGCUGUCCAACCUAGAAGCACUCAAGGCUGAUGGCCAAGAGGAUAGAGAUAUCAAACAGGACUGGGACACAGUACAGAGGCUUCUGGGCCAACUACGAGACAUGGAGAUGGGUUUUGAUGGGUUUUUUGAGAAGCGUCACCUGACGCUGCAACAGUACCUCCAAUUGAUGAGAUUAGCUUUAAUGAGAUGGAGGAGACCCUGGAGCAGCUGAUUGGUCAGGAGAAGGAGGUCGCUGCGGUGGGCGGACUGUGGCCAGACAGAACAGCUACUGAAAGACCUGGAGUCACUGGACACCCACGUACAGGUCAUGGUCCCACUACAUAAUCUACCCACGUACAGGUCAUGGUCCCACUGCACAAACUACCCAUGCACACUUUACCUUGAUCUAGUAUAUCUUCAUUAGAUUAUAGUUUCUGACAGAGAAACAUAACCUACUCCAGACAGGUACGGUAUGAUGGGGUUUUGUGGUUGUUAGGAGGAGCUGGGCCGUGCCCAGAACAUCCUGCACGGCCACCAAUUACCACUACGCUCUGGCCCUGAUCAUCCAGUGCUGUAACGAGCUGCGACACCACUGUGACAUGCUGACCACUGCCAUCCGAGCCAAACUGGCUGCCCUCACCCUCAAACGCCACCUGCUGCUGCGUCUGGAGGAGGCCCGGCGCUGGUGUGACGAGGGGGCUUACCUCUUAUCCAAUCAGCUGGUAGAUAAGUUCCAGUCCAAGGAGGGAGUGCAGGCAGCGCUGCAGGAUAUAGAGACUCCAGGAGGAGGCACCGUCGUGUCUGAGCUAAAGCCCUGAUGUCCUCAGUCUGGAGUUUGAGGCCAUCCUGACCCCUCAGCUACAGACUCAGAUUGGGGUGGCCAUUGAGAUGCUGUCUGCCAUGCAGGGAAUGAUCCACAACAGACAGGCGUGUCUGAGGAAGCUGGCUGACAAUCAGGUUCCGGCCCAUCCAGCUAGUGGCCCCUCGGCCUGAGCACUCUCCCCGAUGCAAA